rnacentral:rRNA from 1 species
CGCCCAACAGCUAGCUCACCCCCUCAACAUCAACAAACCAUUAUUAAUAAUCCCAAACAUACCUCACAUAACAAACAAACCAUUUUUCCUCCUAAGUACGGGAGACGGAAAAGGAUCUUAGAAGCAAUAGAGAAAGUACCGUAAGGGAAAGCUGAAAGAGAUAAUGAAACAACUCAGUAAAGCAUUGAAAAGCAGAGAUCCGCCCUCGUACCUUUUGCAUCAUGAUUUAGCAAGAAAAACUUAAGCAAAAGGCAUUAUAGUUUAAUUUCCCGAAACCAGGUGAGCUACUCCAAGACAGCCUAUUUAUAGGGCAACCCCGUCUCUGUGGCAAAAGAGUGGGAAGAGCUUUGAGUAGAGGUGACAGACCUACCGAACCUAGUUAUAGCUGGUUGCCUAAGAACUGAAUAGAAGUUCAGCCCUUUAAAUUCUCCCACCACCUUCGACUAAAUCAAUAACAGGUACAAGAGAAAUUAAAGGAGUUAGUCAAAGGGGGUACAGCCCCUUUGAACAAAGAUACAACUUUAUUAGUAGAGUAAAGAUCAUACUACCCUAAGACUUAUGCUCUAGUGGGCCUAAAAGCAGCCACCUAUACAGAAAGCGUUAAAGCUCAAGCAUAUAUUACUCCUCGAUCCGGACAAUCAUAUCUUAACUCACUUUUCCUAUUAGGCUACUCCAUCCCAGUAUGGAAGCAAUUAUGCUAAUAUGAGUAAUAAGAGAGGACCGCCUCUCUCCCUGCACACGCAUAAAUCGGAACGAACCCCCGCCGAAAGUUAACGGCCCCAAAACCCAGAGGGCACUGGAUCAAAAACAAAGAACCAGAAAAACAUCCAAUUACCAACCGUUAAACCCACACUGGUGUGCAUAACUGGAAAGACAAAAAGAGAAAGAAGGAACUCGGCAAACAUAAGCCUCGCCUGUUUACCAAAAACAUCGCCUCUUGAAACAAACCCUAUAAGAGGUCCCGCCUGCCCUGUGACUAUAUGUUUAACGGCCGCGGUAUUUUGACCGUGCAAAGGUAGCGCAAUCACUUGUCUUUUAAAUGAAGACCUGUAUGAAUGGCAUCACGAGGGCUUAACUGUCUCCUUUCUCCUGUCAAUGAAAUUGAUCUCCCCGUGCAGAAGCGGGGAUACGCCCAUAAGACGAGAAGACCCUGUGGAGCUUUAGGCUUAAAAGCAGAUUAUGUUAAGUGCCCUUAGAAUAAGAAGAGGAAAACCAAUUAAUUCCUGCUUUACAUGCCUUUGGUUGGGGCGACCGCGGGGAAACAAAUAACCCCCACGUGGACUGGGAGCACAUUUACCUCUCAAAACCUAGGAAUACACCCCUAAGUAAUAGAACUUCUAACCAAUACAUGAUCCGGCACAAGUCCGAUCAACGAACCCAGUUACCCUAGGGAUAACAGCGCAAUCCCCUUCUAGAGCCCAUAUCGACAAGGGGGUUUACGACCUCGAUGUUGGAUCAGGACAUCCUAWUGGUGCAGCCGCUAUUAAGGGUUCGUUUGUUCAACGAUUAAAGUCCUACGUGAUCUGAGUUCAGACCGGAGUAAUCCAGGUCAGUUUCUAUCUAUGUUAUGAUCUUUUCUAGUACGAAAGGACCGAAAAGAGGGGGCCUCUGUUCUUUACACGCCCCAUCUUUACCUAAGGAAACCAACUAAAAUAGGCAAAAAGACAUACCCCUAAGCUUAAGAAAACAGCU